rnacentral:rRNA from 1 species
GACGAACGCUGGCGGCGUGCCUAAUACAUGCGAGUUGAGCGCUGAAGGUUGGUACUUGUACCAACUGGAUGAGCAGCGAACGGGUGAGUAACGCGUGGGUAAUCUGCCUUUGAGCGGGGGACAACAUUUGGAAACGAAUGCUAAUACCGCAUAAAAACUUUAAACACAAGUUUUAAGUUUGAAAGAUGCAAUUGCAUCACUCAAAGAUGAUCCCGCGUUGUAUUAGCUAGUUGGUGAGGUAAAGGCCCACCAAGGCGAUGAUACAUAGCCGACCUGAGAGGGUGGACGGCCAACAUGGGACUGGGACACGGCCCAAACUCCUACGGGAGGCAGCAGUAGGGAAUCUUCGGCAAUGGACGGAAGUCUGGACGAGCAACGCCGCGGGAGUGAAGGAGGUUUUCGGAUCGUAAAACUCUGUUGGUAGAGAAGAACGUUGGUGAGAGUGGAAAGCUCAUCAAGUGACGGUAUCUACACAGAAAGGGACGGCUAACUACGUG